rnacentral:misc_RNA from 1 species
GAUGAAGAACGCAGCGAAAUGCGAUACUUGGUGUGAAUUGCAGAAUCCCGUGAAUCAUCGAGUCUUUGAACGCAAGUUGCGCCCGAAGCCUUUUGGCCGAGGGCACGUCUGCCUGGGUGUCACGCAACGUCGCCGCCAGCACACCCUUCCCUUAGGGGAUCGGGAUGUAGCUGGGGGCGGAUUUUGGCCUCCCGUGCGCCUCAGCGCGCGCGGUUUGCCUAAAUUUCAGCUCACGGCGAGGAUCGCCACGACAAGCGGUGGUUUUUUGAACUAAGGACCUCGGGUGUUGUCGUGCGGCCUCGCGGAGAGAAGGAACCCCCGUGCGCUAGCGCACACUCUUAACGAGACCCCAGGUCAGUCGGGAACACCCGCUGAAUUUAAGCAUAUCAAUAAGCGGAGGAU